UAUGAUAUUAUUUCCAGCAACAAACCGUCAUUUCACUCGCAGAUAUAAAGCUAAACAAAUUCAUAACAAUAACAGCCACGAUCAAAUCAUUUUAACGCCAAAACAGAAUUAAUCAAUAACAGGUCUCUAUAUAAAGCAAAAAGUUUCAAAUGAUAACAUAAACAUCCAAAACUACAUGUAAAAAUAGUCAAAUACUCAAAAACUGAAAUCCAAAAUAUCACAAAAAAUUUCUAAAAACAAUAACAGUAAACCUAAGCAGUAAGCACAACAGCCCCACCAGCUUCUUUAAUUUUCUUCUCGGCUGUCUUGGAAACAAGCUUGGCCUUCACCACAACGGGUUGGUUCUCAGGCAAAACGCCCUUACCCAAAACCUUAAAGUAGCCAAACUGAGUCACAUCGAUCAUUGGCACAUUGUCUUUGGAAGCCUUGGCUUUGACCUCCUGAGGUACCAUCGACCAAAGCUUGUCGACGUUCACAAUUGGGCAAUGAAAUUUAUUACGCAGUUUGUGGAAGUACCUCAUA
rnacentral:lncRNA from 1 species